rnacentral:rRNA from 1 species
UGGGGAAUUUUGGACAAUGGGCGAAAGCCUGAUCCAGCAAUGCCGCGUGUGUGAAGAAGGCCUUCGGGUUGUAAAGCACUUUUGUCCGGAAAGAAAUCCUUGGCUCUAAUACAGUCGGGGGAUGACGGUACCGGAAGAAUAAGCACCGGCUAACUACGUGCCAGCAGCCGCGGUAAUACGUAGGGUGCAAGCGUUAAUCGGAAUUACUGGGCGUAAAGCGUGCGCAGGCGGUUUGCUAAGACCGAUGUGAAAUCCCCGGGCUCAACCUGGGAACCGCAUUGGUGACUGGCAGGCUAGAGUAUGGCAGAGGGGGGUAGAAUUCCACGUNUAGCAGUGAAAUGCGUAGAGAUGUGGAGGAAUACCGAUGGCGAAGGCAGCCCCCUGGGCCAAUACUGACGCUCAUGCACGAAAGCGUGGGGAGCAAACAGGAUUAGAUACCCUGGUAGUCCACGCCCUAAACGAUGUCAACUAGUUGUGGGGAUUCAUUUCCUUAGUAACGUAGCUAACGCGUGAAGUUGACCGCCUGGGGAGUACGGUCGCAAGAUUAAAACUCAAAGGAAUUGACGGGGUCAUGCUGUUUCCUG